rnacentral:misc_RNA from 1 species
GAUGAAGAACGCAGCGAAAUGCGAUACUUGGUGUGAAUUGCAGAAUCCCGUGAACCAUCGAGUCUUUGAACGCAAGUUGCGCCCGAAGCCAUUAGGCCGAGGGCACGCCUGCCUGGGCGUCACACGUCGUUGCCCCCCCAUCUACUCCUUCGGGAUUGCGGGGGGCGGAUGAUGGCCUCCCGUGCGCCUCGCCGCGCGGUUGGCAUAAAUGCCAAGUCCUCGGCGACGCACGCCACGACAAUCGGUGGUUGCGAAACCUCGGUUGCCCGUCGUGUGCGGUCGUCGCGCAUCGAGGGCUCGAAAAAAUUGCCGGGUUCCGGCUCGGCUUUCAACGCGACCCCAGGUCAGGCGGGGUUACCCGCUGAAUUUAAGCAUAUCAAGCGGAGGA